CCUACGGGAGGCAGCAGUGAGGAAUAUUGGUCAAUGGACGAGAGCCUGAACCAGCCAAGUCGCGUGAGGGAUGAAUGCCCUAUGGAUUGUAAACUUCUUUUAUAAGGGAAUCAAAUGUUGCACGUGUCGGGUUUUGUAUGUACCCUAUGAAUAAGGAUCGGCUAACUCCGUGCCAGCCGCCGCGGUAAUACGGAGGAUCCGAGCGUUAUCCGGCUUUAUUGGGUUUAAAGGGUGCGUAGGUGGCUUUUUAAGUCAGUUGUGAAAGUCUGUGGCUCAACCAUAAAAUUGCAGUUGACACUGGCAGUCUUGAGUACAGUUGAGGUAGGCGGAAUUCGUGGUGUAGCGGUGAAAUGCUUAGAGAUCACGAAGAACUCCGAUUGCGAAGGCAGCUUAC
rnacentral:rRNA from 1 species